rnacentral:tRNA from 1 species
UCCCACAUGACUCAGUGGUAAAGAAUCUAUCUGCCAAGCAGAAGACUUGGGUUCAAUUCCUAUGUUGGGAA